UGGUUUUUGACCGGUUGAAGUGAUUUGCUCUUGUUUCUUGCGGUUUGCAGCAACUUGUUUCUCGUUGUUUUGAACCCAAGAGAACCACUUAACCAACCAGAUGCUUGGUGUAUUCAACGAACUUGAUUCGUUUGCAAAGUACCAGUCACCGAAAUUUUGAAUCA
rnacentral:rRNA from 1 species